rnacentral:rRNA from 1 species
UACGUAGGGGGCAAGCGUUGUCCGGAUUUAUUGGGCGUAAAGCGCGUGUAGGCGGCUGGAAUAGUCCGGUGUGAAAUCCACAGGCUUAACCUGUGAAUGCCGCUGGAAACUGUCUGGCUAGAGUCCGGAAGGGGCGAGUGGAAUUCCUGGUGUAGCGGUGAAAUGCGCAGAUAUCAGGAGGAACACCAAUGGCGAAGGCAGCUCGCUGGGACGGUACUGACGCUGAGGCGCGAAAGCGUGGGGAGCGAACAGG